CACAUAUACGAUUUCGCCAUUGUGAAGGGAGUAAGAGUCUCGGAGUCUCGAAGUCCCCAGAUAUCUCUUUCUGUGAGAGUUGCGUCCAAGGAAAGAUACAGAGGAAGCCAUUUAAACCAAUGGGAGAAAUCCGCUCAAUAAGAAAGUUGGAACGCAUACACAGUGAUGUGUGUGGUCCCAUGCCAACGGAGUCAUUUGGAGAAAAAAAGUACUUUGUCACGUUCAUUGAUGACUUCUCAAGGUGUUGCAAAGUUUACUUCAUGCGACACAAAUCUGAAGUGCUAGAUAAGUUCAAGGAAUACAAUGAAUGUGGUCUAAAUAUCGACACACUACGAUCGGGAAUAUGUUUCCAAGGAAUUUGAAGCCCUACUUGAAGAGCCAAGGGAUUCGACACGAAUUAACAACUCCCUACUCACCACAACAAAACGGAGUGGCAGAGAGAAUGAACUGCACACUCAUGGAAGCUGCUCGGUGUAUGAUUGCUCAAGCAAAAUUAUCGGAUCGUUUUUGGGCAGAGGCAGUUGCUACAGCUGCGUACCUCAGAGAUAGGAUGCCUACACUGUUAAAAAUGGGGUGUUGAUUAACACCCCUAUUUUCAAUGUCCAAUUUUGAGUGUGUGCUAAACAAGCACAUCUGUGCACAACAACACAGCCCAAAAAUAUGAAAAUUGCAGCCUUAACUCCUCGUUGAGAUUGAAUUUUAUGCAUCUAGAUGUUUCCAAGUCUAUAGAUAUAGAUAUAGAUAUAGUCUGAGCAUCCAGCUAGCUAUGAAGUAAUGAUUAUAUUAAGAGUUUGCAAGCAGAACGCUCCAACUGAAAAGCGUGUAACUUAACACCCCUAGCUGGUUGUAUAUAGGUUGUAUUAUCAGAGCCUCAAUGUUUAGUGUUUAUUGCAUAGUUGCUCUUUACCGUCUGUGGUGGCUCAGUGUGAUUGUUGCUUGUUUGUUCUAAACUCUUUACCAAAUCUAUAUUUAUACAGGAUCGAUGGUAUAGGAUCAAGGAUGGCCUAUAUUUGGUUGACUAUUGCUGUACCAUUUGCUGCUGUAAUGGCUGAUUGGAUUACCCUGGAUCAAAUCAUCACUAACAAAGAGUGCACACUCAGGUGAUUUGACUGUACUGAUGAAAAACCAAGGAACUUGCCAAGAAUUUUUUAGGAUACGCAAAAACAACCAACUUUCAUUUAUUAAGUGAAGCUUUAAGCAUUUUUGCUCCGUGUCAUAAUGACGACCAGACAACAGCUUCCCGUGUGGCCCAUCUCCAGCGAGCGUACUCUCUAAAUGGAUGCGUACAUUCUCGCUUACGUCAAAAUGCUUGAGAGUGUCAUCAACAAUACCCCGUAUGUUUGUAAGGAUCACCUAUAAUUAUUAAAGCAUAUUAAUAUCAUGCUUUUGGAUAUUGUGUAAUCAAUCACCUGAUAGAGUGACUCAAUUUCUUGGAUUAUUGUGUCCAUGGUGUUUUGAGGGAGGCGAUGCAUUUCCUGUAUCUUCAAAAUGAAAGUAGCUGCGCACUUCUGAAUUUGUAAUCGAUGUUUUGUGGUUUUCGAACAGUCUGCUGGCAGGUGAAGCCCUGAUCAAUCUCAAUCUCCUCUGUUGUGACACUUUGGUCUGGUUCACUAUCGCCGAUAGCAUUGGUCUCAUUCUCAUUUUGCUCUGCAGUUGCGGUGAGGCCACUGUGGUAGGCGUAAACAUGAUUACGGAAUGUGAAGAAGUUUUUGAAAGGUCUGUCCCUUGGCCUUGCACAUCCCAGAUUGCAAAAAACUCGAAAUGUAGUGCCGGUAUCAUUAUGGAACAAUCGAAUAUGACGAAGAUAGUCUCCAAUAUUUGUUCCACUAAAAUGAAAACAAGAUGGGCAGUCUAACUGCCCCAUUACUUAAUAGAUCUGAAUAGCUAGCUAGCUAGCUUGCUAUAAUUAAUUAUAAAGCUGUUCAAAGGUUCGCGCUUAUUUUUCUGUAUCCUUGAUUCGAGGCAAACCCAGACCUUACGGCUGUUGACCAAUGAAAUUAAUUAGUAGUGAUGUAAGCACAAAUAGCGAUCACCAGCUGCGCAGUCGCGGUGCUGUAUGAGUUGUCAUAGAUACAGGAGCAGCUCCAACUAACAGAACUACUAGAAGUGCAGCGCAAGAGACUAACAGUUUCAAGUUUCAAGUCUUAGCAUGGCAACAAACGACCUCUCUCACCUCACUACUGACGAACUGUGCAAGUUUCUAUCUGGCAGAAUCCAUGAGGCAGCGGAACUUACACUUAGAGAACAAUGUAUUAGCGGUGCAAUUUUCUUCAAACUAACAGAUACAGACCUCAAGGAACUAUUGCCUCAAAUUGGAACAAGACUAAGUGUCUCGGUGAUAUUGCGAGAAUUGCAACCUGUACAUGCCAGUAAUAGAAUCUCGAAGGUACCAGAUAUGUCAGCCCCAGCAUCAAGUAGCUGGGUAUUCUCUUUUGAAAUUCCUGGGCGUUUCACCAACAAGACAAUGAAAUGCCUUGAAGAUGUGUGCAUAUCCUCUACUGCUCGAUCUGAGAUAAUCGGCUCACUGCAUACAAGAAUGUUGCAGUACACAGACUUCCCUUCACCCUUUGAGUACAGAGCAAGAGCAAGUUGCAGGAGGCUGGUUGAAAAGUAUCCUUGUCUCGUGGACAAGACUGAGAGUGGAUAUGGAACAUGGAAAGAGACGCUAAAAACAGAAAUUCAGAAAUGGACGAAGACCUCUGAAAAGAACCCUACCUGAGUCUGGAGAUUCCGGAGCCGAGGAAAAUGUACCACCUUUGCCAGCCACCAGCCAAGCACAAUGCUCCAACAAAAAGAAAAGGAAGCAAGGAAUAGCUGAUAACAACCAGCAUGACAUCAUUGAUGAGAGGUAUACUCAGCAAUUAGAGGAGCUUGCAGAUGAACACCACAAAGAAGUGCCAUCUCGUAGCCAAGUUAAAAAAUUGAUGAAGGUGACUUUUGGCGGAAGGCGCUCCUGGAUUCUAAAGGACACUCCAACCGUAGCGGAAGUUAUCCAAGUUUUCCCUUCACUAAAAUUACCGAGCGCGAUUCGAAGGGAACUUUGUUUAGUUCUGGGUGUGGACAAAGCAACAAACUUUCUGGCUAAUUGGUGUCCAUUAAGUGACAAAGUGUUGGUCUAUGGGGGAAAAGAAACGAAGCCUUCUGUUCAGAAACUGUGCUCAGAGUUUGCUAAGCAAGAACAAUCACCAGAUUCCCAAGGCGUUCAAACAAUCCGCCUGCUCUCGGCAAUAUUGGCUACCAGGAGCAAAGAGAAGAUCCUUCAUGAGUUCCCUGUAAGUUGGAUACGGCAGUAUUACAAUUAUAUACUUUGUACCGUGUGUAUAUAUACCGUCAAGAGCAUUUAUAGAUAAGAGUAAGAGUGUUGAACUGCUGUAUAGUAAUUGCAUAACCACAUUCGCCUUAACAUGCGUCAUCACUGUCGUCACUAUUCAAUUAAUGAGUGCUGUUAAGUAAACUGUGCAUGGUCUGUGGUUUGUAGCACUGAAUUACGCAAUCACAGCAUGUGCAUGCGGUUUCUGGGAGGUGUUGCUAACAUAAAAAAUUAGUACUGAUUACUAUCAAGUGAUGGAUGACGCAGGAGCAGGCAAUUGCUGUUACUAGCAGUUCAACAUUCUUACUCUUGUCUAUACUCUUGAUACCCUGCAUGUAUUAUUAUACUUAUACCUUGUACUGUUUCACCAAUGUUAUGUGCUAGCAUAGAAGGAAGCGUGCUCGAUCUCAUUGGAGCAUACUAUUCCUUUGAUAUUGUUUACCCUAGGCAGCUCUAUCCAUUAUUAAUCUUUAUUCAGCAUAUUAUUUUAAAUAUUUUUGACCAACAAAGAAUCCCGACGAAUGUUACUAUUUUAUGCACUUCCUUAGACAAAUUAUAGGCAUUCAAUAUCACUUAUUUAAUCACCACAUAAUCUUAAACUGCUUAUAAUUAUAUCAAAUGUUCACUAUCUUUUAUCAUUCAUGUAUCACCAUCGUGUAUCACCAUGCUGUAUCUUAAAUUGACUGUUCAUUAUGUCCACUGUUAUUUGUUGUUCGUUUAUGCUAUAUCGUUAUUCUUGUUACUAUGACAAUGUGGAUGUACACUAGUGCAUGCUGUGUAAACACUUAUAUGCAUGUCAUGUGAGCACAUUACCUAUACAGUGCGUGCUAUAUAAACACUAACAUGCAUGUCAUGUGAGCACACUACCACCAGUGUUGAUCAACACACACUCAAGAGUGUGUGUUGAUCAACACAUCUCAGUGUGUUAAACUUAAACAGUGCAACGAGCACCCUAAAAGGGUGUUAAUUAACACCCCAUUUUUAACAGUGUAGUCGAGCCUUCAAGAUCAAAAUCACACCAUAUGAGAGGUGGUACGCACAGAAACCGAAAUUGAGCCACAUACGAGUUUUUGGUUGUACAGCGUACGCACACAUACCAGACACAUACCAGAUUCGCAAAGAAACAAACUUGCAAAGAAGGCUGAAAAACGACAGUUUGUAGGAUACUGCUCUCAAUCCAAUGGAUACCGACUAAUGGACGAAACAACAUCUAAAGUCGUCAUUCGAAGAGAUGUCGUUUUCAACGAGACUGUUUUUCAAGAGACUGAUUCACUAAUUGAUUUACAGACCCUAACUUCAGUACGAACGGAAACAGUACCCUGUACUAGUGAAGCUGAAACUAAAGCUGAAUCUGAAGCUGAAUCUGAAGCUGAACCCGAAGCUGAAGAAACUCAUCGAUACCCUAGUCGACAACGGGCUCAACCAGUGAGGUAUGGUCAGGAUGAGUACAUUAAUGCUGCAAUCCUUGAAAACAACCCAGCCUCAGCCUCAGUAGAAGAAGCAUUAUCAUGUGAUGACUCUGAGGGCUGGAAAGCAGCUGCUGAUUCCGAAUAUCAAUCCCUGAUUGAAAACAAGACUUGGGAUCUUGUAGAACUACCAAGUGGUCGAAAAACUAUUGGAAGCAAGUGGGUCUUUAAGGCCAAACGCGGAAAGGACGGUGAAGUGGAGCGACUCAAAGCUCGCCUAGUAGCCAAAGGUUGCACACAAAAAUUUGGUGUAGAUUAUGAUGAAACAUUUUAGUGCGUUUCACAUCAAUUCGAGUGUUACUAGCACUGGCUGUUACUAGCACUGGCUGUACAGAAGGACAUGCUUGUCCACCAAAUGGAUGUUGUAACAGCCUUCUUAAACAGCACACUAGAAGAAGAGAUAUAUAUGGAGCAACCGUCCCACUAUGUCGAGAAAGGCAAAGAAAAACUAGUCUGCAAGUUAAACAAGUCACUCUAUGGACUGAAACAAUCAAUCUCCACGAUGUUGGAACGCUGUGUUUACGGAAUACAUGGAGCAAGCAGGAUUUGUUCAAAGCAGUGCUGAUCCUUGUGUGUUUGUCCAAACUGAAGAGGGUGACCUAACAAUCGUUGCUGUGUAUGUGGACGAUUUAAUCAUCUUAACCAAGACACCUGAAAAGAUGAAGGAGGUGAAGCAAAGUUUGGAGGGACGUUUUAAGAUGAAGGAUUUAGGAAAGCUCCACUACUGCCUUGGUAUUUCCAUAGACCACGAUGAAGAUGGGAAGUGUAUACGAAUGCAUCAGAAGCAGUACAUACAGGCAAUGCUGGAGAAAUUUGGACUGACUCAAGCAUCUGACUCAAGCUAAUGCAGCUUUGACACCAGCUGAUGUAAACGUAAUUCUCAAAAGGGACGACGAAACCAGCAAACCAGUUGAUUCUAUUCAGUAUCAGUCACUUGUAGGAAGUCUACUCUAUUGUGCAAUUGGUACACGUCCAGAUACAGCUCAAGCAGUGGGAGCAGUGUCCAAGUUUAACUCGAACCCGAGUGAAGCACACCUGACGGCCGCCAAGAGAAUAUUGAGGUAUCUAAAGGGAACAGCCGAUCUAACACUAAAGUAUGAGAAAUCGAAGGCCAAUGCACUAAUGGGCUAUUCCGAUGCCGAUUGGGCUGGAGACCAAGACAAUCGUCAUUCUACAAGUGGAAACCUGUUCUUGAUGGCCGGAGGGGCAGUUUCAUGGAUGAGCAAGAAACAAACGAUGGUAGCUCUAUCCACCGCGGAAUCUGAGUAUGUCGCUCUUAGUGUUGCCACUCAAAGAGGCCGUGUGGAUGAGAAGAUUGCUCACAGACUUAGGAGUGUGCCAAAAGGUGCCGACUGUAUUGAUGGAAGACAAUCAAGCAGCAAUCGCUAUUAGCAAGAAUCCUGUGUCACAUGCUAGGACAAAGCAUAUUGACAUCAAAUUUCACUAUGUACGUGAAGCUGUAAAGGAAUGGAUCAUUUCAUUGACGUAUUGUCCGACAGAAAAAAUGGUAGCUGACUUGCUCACUAAGCCAUUGAACCGAAUUCGUUUCAAGUCACUUCGCGACGAAAUGGGCAUGUCUCAGGAAUAACAAUCGUAAAAUUAAGUGGGAGUGUUGUUAUGUAAUUAUUACGUAAUGGAACAUUCUAGAAUACUCUGUAGAACAUUCUAGAAUAUUCUGUAGUCUAUUUAACCAUUGUGUUCGUUUUUACUUUAGCACAUGUUCUCUGUCUAUUAUUAUCUCUUGUUGUUGAAUAGUCAACUAAACUAGCAUAGGGUUUAGCAUAGACCUAUAUAACAACAGUUGCUUGUAGUUAGCCAUUGCUUGUAGUUAGCCAUGUUGUAAAUUAGUGGUUAGAGUGAACCAUCAUGUCUAGGUCCUUUUGAGAAAACCGCGUUUAAAGUUCAAUGAUUCCGUGAACCUCCGUGCCCCUGGAUAAAUCGUCGCCGCCCUUAUCCUACGAGGUUCCGCAGAAAAUCUUGGAUAAAGUACAGCAACGGU